rnacentral:rRNA from 1 species
GCACAAGCGGUGGAUGAUGUGGAUUAAUUCGAUGCAACGCGAAGAACCUUACUACCCUUGACAUGUCCGGAACUUGCCAGAGAUGGCUUGGUGCCCGAAAGGGAACCGGAACACAGGUGCUGCAUGGCUGUCGUCAGCUCGUGUCGUGAGAUGUUGGGUUAAGUCCCGCAACGAGCGCAACCCUUGUCCUUAGUUGCUACGCAAGAGCACUCUAAGGAGACUGCCGGUGACAAACCGGAGGAAGGUGGGGAUGACGUCAAGUCCUCAUGGCCCUUAUGGGUAGGGCUUCACACGUCAUACAAUGGUCGGUACAGAGGGUUGCCAAGCCGCGAGGUGGAGCCAAUCCCACAAAGCCGAUCGUAGUCCGGAUUGUUCUCUGCAACUCGAGAGCAUGAAGUCGGAAUCGCUAGUAAUCGCAGGUCAGCAUACUGCGGUGAAUACGUUCCCGGGUCUU